GGGCCAAGUAAAAGUAGAAAAAAGGGAGGGAAAAAUACACCCUGAAAUGUAGAGUGGGCUACCAUGGAGAGACACUACAGCAAGCCCUUAGUGGCACAGUCCCCUUUUGCAUUUCCUAGGCUGGCAGCAUGUCUCAAGUUCUCGCGAGAAGCCCCCUGGCAGGGCUGUGGACGUGGUUCUGUGCCAACGUCCUCAUGCCUCCUUUCUCGGCCGGUGUAGCCUGGUGUUAGUUAUCCCCCCCGCGCCCCAUCAGAUAAGCCGCGGUUCCUUUCGGUGAGUUUUCAUCUUUAUGAUGAGAUUACACUAAGUCGCAGACCGUCUGGGUUGUCAUCACGAUGUCUGCGUCAGGCCAAGCCAGCCUGGACCUCGCCUGUCAGGUGGAAAUGUUACAGUCGGCAGCCGGGAGCAAGUGCUAAUGGGUACCUGGUGGCUUUACUUCUACAAACAACUGCGAUCUUGUUUCCACCAACCGCGCUAAUACAGGAAGGAAAAGAGCUACCUCCUUUUGGAUGUGAGUUAGCACAUUCUUAUAACAGCAUUUGAAAAAUUCCUUUUCUUCUCCAUCCUUUAGUAAUUUUCCUCUUCUCCUAGGAAGCCUAACAAGCAACCAAUCCAACACAGAAAAUGAAGGAACAUUUUUGACCCAAUUUGCUCUUCAUAAGACCAGAAAAGCACGACGUAGCUAUGAGAAGAUGCAAUUAUUUUUCACUCCUGCGCAUAGGUCUACUUCAAAGGUAACUUUAUUUUGCAGGAACAGUGCUUUUGGUACAAGCUCUGUGUUCUAACG
rnacentral:lncRNA from 1 species